rnacentral:tRNA from 1 species
GGGGGCUAGUGGGAGCCUAAUUCUCACCCUUGACAUGGUAGGGGUCACAGGUUCGAACCCUGUACCGCCCACCA